UAAAUAUAAAAAUCUGUCUUUUAACUUUUAACUAAAAAAACUAAAAACUGGCUCUUAAAUAAGAUAUUUAAGAACCGAUUAUUAGUUUUUUUAGUUAAAAAUUAAGAGACGGAUUUGUAUAUUCC
rfam:Brassica rapa chromosome A5, whole genome shotgun sequence.